ACGGCUCAGUAACACGUGGACAAUCUACCCUACGGAAGAGGAUAACCCCGGGAAACUGGGGAUAAUACUCUAUAGACUAUGAAUGCUGGAAUGCUUUGUAGUCGAAAGGUGAGCCGCCGUAGGAUGGGUCUGCGGCCGAUUAGGUUGUUGUUGGGGUAACGGCCCAACAAGCCUGUAAUCGGUACGGGUUGUGGGAGCAAGAGCCCGGAGAUGGAUUCUGAGACACGAAUCCAGGCCCUACGGGGCGCAGCAGGCGCGAAAACUUUACAAUGCGGGAAACCGUGAUAAGGGAACUCCGAGUGCCCGUAAAAUCGGGCUGUCCGCCAGUGUAAAUAACUGGUGAAGAAAGGGCCGGGCAAGACCGGUGCCAGCCGCCGCGGUAAUACCGGCGGCUCGAGUGGUGGUCGCUAUUACUGGGCUUAAAGCGUUCGUAGCUGGGCUGUUAAGUCCCCUGGGAAAUCCACCGGCUCAACCGAUGGGCGUUCAGGGGAUACUGGCAGCCUAGGGACCGGGAGAGGUGAGGGGUACUUCAGGGGUAGGAGUGAAAUCCUGUAAUCCUUGAGGGACCACCUGUGGCGAAGGCGCCUCACCAGAACGGCUCCGACAGUGAGGGACGAAAGCUGGGGGAGCAAACCGGAUUAGAUACCCGGGUAGUCCCAGCUGUAAACGAUGUGCGUUAGGUGUAUCAGUGACCACGAGUCACUGAGGUGCCGAAGAGAAAUCGUGAAACGUACCGCCUGGGAAGUACGGUCGCAAGGCUGAAACUUAAAGGAAUUGGCGGGGGAGCAC
rnacentral:rRNA from 1 species